GACAGAGGGUGCGAACGUUGCUCGGAAUCAUUGGGCGUAAAGCGCGUGUAGGUGGCUUGUCACGUCGGAUGUGAAAGCCCGGGGCUCAACCCCGGCAGUGCAACCGAAACGAGGGAGCUAGAGUGCUGGAGAGGCGGGUGGAAUUCCCGGUGUAGAGGUGAAAUUCGUAGAUAUCGGGAGGAACACCGGUGGCGAAGGCGACCCGCUGGCAGCGACUGACCACUGAGACGCGAAAGCGUGGGGAAGCAAACAGGGAUU
rnacentral:rRNA from 1 species